GCAAGUAUGGUUUAGUGGUUUGAGCAUUAGACUAGGACUCUGGAGAACAGGGUUCAAAUCCCUGCUUCGCCA